rnacentral:lncRNA from 1 species
ACAAGCCUCAAAAUUUAUAUUAUGUUCCAAUUUCACCUCUGAUCAUCAUUCAUUUAUUCACUGACACUAUUAUGUUGAACUCACUCAGACCUAUCUCUUUUCUUCCUUAAUUUCAUUUUUUCUUGUAAUCAAAUGUAUUUCUCUAAUUGUUUAAGGCCAAUUUAGUUUUAACUUUGUAAUAUGUUUUUUCUUUUUCAAUUUUUUAGGUUAUUGCAUUCUCAUCUCACAAGGAGGUGUGCC